AUACGUAAUGCGAAUUGCAGAAUUCAGCGAGUCAUCGAAUCUUUGAACGCACAUUGCGCCCGCCAGCAUUCUGGCGGGCAUGCCUGUCCGAGCGUCAUUU
rnacentral:rRNA from 1 species